rnacentral:rRNA from 1 species
UGGUCGCUAAUACCCCAUAUGCCCUUGGGUGAAAUGAGUUUUGCCUGAAGAUGAGCUCGCGUCAGAUUAGCUAGUUGGUGUGGUAAUGGCGCACCAAGGCGACGAUCUGUAGCUGGUCUGAGAGGAUGAUCAGCCACACUGGGACUGAGACACGGCCCAGACUCCUACGGGAGGCAGCAGUGGGGAAUUUUCCGCAAUGGGCGAAAGCCUGACGGAGCAAGACCGCGUGAGGGAUGACGGCCUAAUGGUUGUAAACCUCUUUUAUUCGGGAAGAUGAUGACGGUACCGAAUGAAUCAGCCUCGGCUAACUCCGUGCCAGCAGCCGCGGUAAUACGGAGGAGGCAAGCGUUAUCCGGAAUUAUUGGGCGUAAAGCGUCCGUAGGUGGUUUUACAAGUCAGCUGUUAAAGCGUGAGGCUUAACCUCAUACAGGCGGUUGAAACUGUAGGACUAGAGUUUGGUAGGGGUUGCGGGAAUUCCCAGUGUAGCGGUGAAAUGCGUAGAUAUUGGGAAGAACACCGGUGGCGAAAGCGCGCGACUGGACCUGAACUGACACUGAGGGACGAAAGCUAGGGGAGCGAAAGGGAUUAGAUACCCC